UACGGAGGGGGCUAGCGUUGUUCGGAAUUACUGGGCGUAAAGCGCGCGUAGGCAGACCUGCAAGUCGGGGGUGAAAGCCCGAGGCUCAACCUCGGAACUGCCUUCGAUACUGCGGGUCUCGAGUCCGGGAGAGGUGAGUGGAAUUCCUAGUGUAGAGGUGAAAUUCGUAGAUAUUAGGAAGAACACCAGUGGCGAAGGCGGCUCACUGGCCCGGUACUGACGCUGAGGUGCGAAAGCGUGGGGAGCAAACAGG
rnacentral:rRNA from 1 species